rnacentral:rRNA from 1 species
ACGACCGGCGCACGGGUGCGUAACGCGUAUGCAACCUACCUUCUACAGGGGGAUAGUCAAUAGAAAUGUUGAAUAAUACCCCAUACGAUCUUUGAAUAGCAUUAUUUAAAGAAGAAAGCUCCGGCGGUAGAAGAUGGGCAUGCGUCCUAUUAGUUAGUUGGUAAGGUAACAGCUUACCAAGACUUCGAUAGGUAGGGGUCCUGAGAGGGAGACCCCCCACACUGGUACUGAGACACGGACCAGACUCCUACGGGAGGCAGCAGUGAGGAAUAUUGGACAAUGGGGGCAACCCUGAUCCAGCGAUGCCGCGUGAGUGAUGAAGGCCUUAGGGUUGUAAAACUCUUUCGCUAGGGAAGAUAAUGACGGUACCUAGUAAAGAAGAUCCGGCUAACUCCGUGCCAGCAGCCGCGGUAAUACGGAGGGACCUAGCGUUAUUCGGAAUAACUGGGCGUAAAGCGAGCGUAGGCGGAUUUGUAAGUUGGAGGUGAAAUCCCAGGGCUUAACCCUGGAACUGCCUUCAAAACUACAUUUCUUGAGUUUGGUAGAGGAGAGUGGAAUUCCUAGUGUAGAGGUGAAAUUCGUAGAUAUUAGGAGGAACACCAGUGGCGAAGGCGACUCUCUGGGCCAAUACUGACGCUGAGGUUCGAAAGCGUGGGGAGCAAACGGGAUUAGAUACCCCGGUAGUCCACGCAGUAAACGAC